GUAAGUGCAUUUCAUUCCAAGGGAAACUGUAUGCUCUGUACAACAGAAAUUAACAUGCAACAUGACAGAAAAGGCAAGGGAAACUGGUAGCAUUCUUUUAAUCUGUGUUUCUUUCACUGGUGGCAUAUCUAAUGGUGUAAAACAGUUUUAACCCCCCAUAUACCAAUAAUUCUACCCCUAUUUUAACAAGCCGUGGACACAAAAUGAUGAGAGAAGAUGAUGAGUCUACACACUUAGAGAGACAGCAAAGAGAUUCUGUGAAACUGAGUAAUUACCACAAGACACACAGACAUUAACAGAGACUUGAUGUGACCACAGCAAUAGCUCCAGGUUUCCUUGACACUUGUCAUAGGGCUGACGACUUUGUUGGCCUUUUGCUGUCCCCAUGAGCUUGGACGAAGUAGCCGGAGGAAAGGACAGCAUCUUCCUGACUUCCACCUAAAAUUCCAAAGGUCUGUUGGAUUAGUUUUGCUAUAAUUGGAUCAUUUCCUUGUGUUGAUAUACGUGCAAGGCAUGUUGCCACCCUGGCUUCUGUCUUGGAAAAUCUCAGCUUGUAUUCUUGAGUAGAGCAUCUUACUGAUUUUAAAGAAUUCCAACAGGCCAAAAGAUCCAACAGGAUCUUUUCCUUGUUGAAGGCAUGAAGAGUUCAUAGAAUAAUCUGGCUUUUUCUUGUCAUCCCAUCUCAACCAUAGGGUAAGUCUGUAAGGUAAGGAUACUUAACAGUUAUUAACCCCUGGAAAGUAAGUACCUCACUGCCAAACAGUUGUCCUUCCAAUCUAAUAUUUCUAUCAGCAAAAAUCCCUGCUCCUAAUGCGUUUAGGAAGGUUUACAUAAAGCUGGUUAGGUUUAAAUGAUGCACACAUUGUUUUUUCUUGAAAUCAAGAUUAAUCAGGCAAAAAUCCUGCCUUUAGGGUUUGGGCUUCUUGGAACCAAAAGGUCAAAAUGAGAUCUGGAAGUUAAGAUGGUUAGGAACAGACACAAGCUUUUGCUCAGAACCUCUGGCAUUCACAGCACAACAGUAGCACACUGGUCAAACUAUUCAGUGUACGAUGUACAAUGUAUUAUGACACGUUACAAAAGAUGGAUUGUACGUGCAUCUUUACACAGCUCCGAGAUUGUGCCUUCCCUGGGAGGAGCCAAUGUGCCAACAGUGAUAUUUGAUAGAACAGUGCUUCACUGUACGCAAACUUUUACAUAGAGAGUAAAACACAUGAAGGCAGCAGGCCAUAAAGUAUGUACACACACAUAUGAAUGCACACACACAAAGCACUCGAGUGCUGUGAAGCACACAGUAAUAGGGCAUCUAGUACCUGAAGACCAUCUCUAUACCUUUACAUCUGGAAUAUGUCAUUCACGUUAGAGUGAAUUUUUCAGUACUAAAUAAAACACUUAAAGGAAAUAUAAGUGAACAAAGACACAUAUGAAAAUAGGAAUGUGUAUUUACAAGAGAGAUUAUUGUAUUUGGUCUCUUCAUAUCUACUAUGAGGAAUGUUCACUUUCUGCCAUUAAAAAUUCACGUACUAUAAACAUUAUAGAUGCAAGGGCUCCAAUUGUGCAAAUUCUAGCACAUGAUCUUAAGCCUUUGCAAGAUAGGGACCUAGGAUCCUAAGGCCUUGAGCAAAUAGACACUCAGAAACAUUUGCAGUCUCAAGCAAAGCAGGAAUAUGCUGGCAGAUUUGUUUAAGUGCUGCAGCUGGCAAAGAAUCUGGUCUUUGAGGAAUGCUGGAAAGUCAUAGGAAAGGUCACUUUUCAUAUCAGAAUAAAGCGCAAUAGAAAUACAUCUGUUCAGUAAAAGGUACCUCUCUGUCACUAAAGCAUGAAAUGCUGUUUGUUUCUCUGCAAAAUGCAAUAGCUUCAUAUGAUGACAGUCUGCAUAAUUCAGCUUAAAGAAAUUAAUUUAAAUGAAAUACAGGCUUUAGGUUUAAUUCUCAUCCUAAAUCUUAGUUGUUUUUUUCUUUUUUAAAGAGAUCUACAUUAAUAUGUGAUGGAGGUGGCUAUUAAAUUGCUAUAACCAGCGUGAUUAUUAGAAUUUAUCAUGUAGUCUGGAACUUCUGAAGUACUGUCUCCAAAAGAAGUAGAAAAGAGAUAAAUACAGAAACAACUGAGGCAUACAGCUACAUGCCAUACACUCCGCUGCAGAGGCUGCACAAAAUGAUGGCUCUACUGGAUACCUCCAAAACCUUUUGUGGUGAUCCAUACCCAGUGUUUCAGUGUCUGCGCUGGAUAGUUUGAUGGAUCUGAACUGGAAUGACGUUCCACACAGAAGAGACAGAAACAAGUGCAGAAACCUUGGCAGUGCUGCUGUUGGCUCUUUGCUGGUGGUGAGGAUAUGGAGACUAAUCAACAGUGUAGCUCGGGACACGACACACAGAGGCAUUCUCACCUUUCUGUGUUUCUACUGUUGGCCACUAAUGGCUUCAGCAACAUUCCCCCCAGUGCUCCCAAGAACUUUGGUGAUCCCUCACUAGUGAUGUAGGCAUCAGUAAGGCAGCCACACAGACAAGACUUUGAGGAACAAAAUCCAACCAGACCUGAAAAACCGAAGACUCAAAAUGAGUUGCUCCCCACCAAUUUCAUGCACGGUUUUCUUUUUUACAUGUUGGCCAAGCAAAACUUAUUCAAAUAUGCUCUGUUAUCUGACUGAAAAUUGACAGUGAUAAAACUCUGUAUUGCAACACAGAGAACAGGUAAAUACGCAAUGGGAAUGCAGUGCUAAUAGAGCUUAUAUGCUUUUUGGAUUUACUGUGCUUCAGCAAGCAAAUUCAGCAAACCUGUGUUUUUGUCUGUGCUUAGUUUUUUGGAUUUUGAUCAACCUCUAGCAAUACCAAAUGAAUCCAGUUAAGAUGCUACUUCUGUAUGCUACAUGGUUAACUGCGUGCAAAACUUUCAGCUAAGUGCUUAAGGCACAACACAACUUCUUAUCAUACUGUAUGAAGCAAGUAUCAGAGAAGAAAAGCUAUUUUUAAACUAGUCUCACUGUCUUCAGCCUGUUUUAGAGCAGCUCUUGUUUUCAUAAACUUCACAAGUUCAUACGCUAUUUUUAUGAGAGAUAAUAAUCAGGAUCGUGCAGACGGAUGUUGGCACAGUAACACAUACAGUAAAACAUUUCUCAAAAUACUAGUCAUUAUUCUCAAUUAUGUUUUCUGUUUGAUUGUUAAAAGCCAAUCUUGUUGACCCAGCAAUAUACACUUGGCUUUGCAGCCCCUGUUGCUGCUUAGUAAUGUCCUGGGAAAUCCUAUGCCUUUGAAACUCUAUGCAAAUCAUCUAAAAGGAGCCAACGUUAACACUCAGGUUGAAUUAGAAAAUAGGAAAACACAAGAAGUAGUUUAAGGACAAAGCUGUCUCCAGCUAAAAUUAAGCACUGAUUCACAGUGACAGUAUGAAAACACUAAACUGUACAUUAAAAUUCCUAAACAUCACUGCUAUUCACAGCAGGCCAAUGCAAACAUUCGUUACUUCUGUGUCUGAGAGUGAAUUUGUAAGUUAGGAAAAUGAUGUCAGUAUCAAAGAAUUCAAACCUAAUUUUAUCUGAUUGGCGAGUGAGUCUGAGUACUGAGAUACUAAAUAAAUAUUUGACAGCACCAUUCCAUAGUAUAAUUUAUUUCACAUAUGCACUAAAUUAAAAGGAAAGCUUUUCUAAAUUGCAGGCAAUUUCCAGGCAAACCACAAAGCAGGACGAUGGUGAUGGCUACCAUUGUGUCCUGGUAGAGCACCUUCUUACCCUUGCAAAGGUCAAGAGAAUUUAGAGCAAAUAACCAAAACCACGAGGCAGAGAUUGUUACAGGAGGUCCACUUCUGUCCCAUUUGUGACAGGGAAUUCAAUUGUAUACCACUGACUGCUCCUGCUCAUGGGCGAGGAGGAAACAAUGCUGAAUGCCUGAGCUUGUAUUUGUGUCAGUAGAGCUACCACUAUGGAUAAGAAGUGCAGAGUUUUGCCUAGCAAUGCACAUUGCUGGGAAAAUUCAUUCCAGCAUGAUAGGGCUGUUGCAAAGAUCCUGUUUAAAUCUAUGAUGUUUCUCAGUGAGCAAGUGGAAAUAUGUUAUUUGUGCAAUGACUGAUGCACAUGGGCACACAAUGGCGCAUGGAGAGACACAGGAGGUAUGCAAGAGCUAUUAGAUGUGAUGCACAGGCACAGAGCUCAGAUGUCCUUCCAAAGAGGAAACUGAGAUAAAACAUGCACCAUUUUUGUUGUUGU